UACUCUUUCCAUGCCCCCUCUCAUAUGAGAAAGAAAGUGAGGAAUUGCAGGGCUGACCUACCCUUGGAAGCCUAUGAGGAUCCCAUGGAUCCAUAAGUCUAAGUGCAUGAUUGUUCUCGCACUCUAAUGAGUCCAAUAACAUAGUAAAAGGAGUGGUCCUUAUGUUUUGUUUUGUAUUUUGCAGCCACUUCUGGAUUUAGUAUAUGUAUGUAUUA
rnacentral:lncRNA from 1 species